rnacentral:rRNA from 1 species
ACUCUGUUGUUGGAGAAGAAGGAUAGAGGUAGUAACUGGCCUUUAUUUGACGGUAAUCAACCAGAAAGUCACGGCUAACUACGUGCCAGCAGCCGNGGUAAUACGUANGUGGCAAGCGUUGUCCGGAUUUAUUGGGCGUAAAGCNAGCGCANGCGGAAAAAUAAC